rnacentral:rRNA from 1 species
CAGUAGCCGCGGGAAUACGGAGGGGGCUAGCGUUGUUCGGAAUUACUGGGCGUAAAGCGCACGUAGGCGGCUUUGUAAGUCAGAGGUGAAAGCCCGGGGCUCAACCCCGGAAUUGCCUUUGAGACUGCAUCGCUUGAAUCCAGGAGAGGUGAGUGGAAUUCCGAGUGUAGAGGUGAAAUUCGUAGAUAUUCUGAAGAACACCAGUGGCGAAGGCGGCUCACUGGACUGGUAUUGACGCUGAGGUGCGAAAGCGUGGGGAGCAAACAGGAUUAGAUACCCCGGUAGUCCCUGUCUCUUAUAC